AUAUUUUGUAUGAAUAUUUAUUGUUUAAUAUAUCAUUAAAGUUUUGUCAUCAUUUAUCGUUUUUUUACGAUUGGUUAUAAAUAGUGGAACGUUCAGCAGUACUCGGGUUUUACCGCUGCAUACUAUGAAAAGUCUGAGCAUGCGCACUUUCACCGCUUGAUUUUUAAAAACAGUGAUAACCAAACUUGCAGUGAAAUUUUGCUCGAUCCAGAUUCCAGAACAAAGAAAAAGAGUCUUGUAUAAAAAUCCACAGAUCCAAUGUGUCUGAGGUUGAGGAAUGCAUUGCAGUAACACUUAAGCAUGCACCAGCUCAAAAAGAUGUACCAAGAUAUAAAAAGAGACCUGAAACCAACACAAGACCAGCUGAUCAGAGGGCAGAAAACCAAAAUUUGGAAUGACAUGUAUACACCCAACACAAGACUAAAAUUUGGAAUAAAAAUUAAAAAAAAUCAGAAACAUAUUAUUAUUUUUUUAUUGGUUCAUGAAGCCAAGAAAAAAGAAGUCUUAACUUUUGGAUAGGUCUAUAUCUAGUUGGUCAAUGGAAAAAAGCAAUAGUUAGUUUGAUUGUAUUUCAGGUAUUUUCUUCAUUUGGGAUAUUUUUAGAAGUGUAUAAGUUGUGUAGAAUAUAUAUUUGUAAAUUAGACAGCCAGCUUUUGGGCUUUUUUCCAAACUUUUUUCCUAGCUUGUCAUUGUGUAGUGAAUCCAGCUGAAUGAAUCUACAGUAAAUAUUAAGGUAUAUGUGGUAGUUUGUUGUAUUUCUGAAUAAUUCAUUAGAAAAUGUUUUCCUUCGUUAAAGUGAAAUCUACAUUCUAGAAUUUCCACCAUCAUAGUGAAAUCUAUAUUCUAGAACACUGAAACCCUAAACAUUCAGAAGUUGCAGCAUGUACCAAGAUGUCAUGUUGAAGGCUGUACAGUUACCUAUAAUUGCUAACAUCAUCAAUAUUUGAUUUUAGGAUAGAGGGUUGUCUCGUUGGCCAUCAUACAAAAUCUCCUUUUUCAAAUAGUAUUAUGUGUUAAAUUUUUUAAAGAAAAGUUGCUUUUGUUAAAUGGAAAUGUGUAAAUCUUGUACUUCAGUAUUGCAAAAGUUAAAAACUAAGACUUUAACCUUAAACAACUGUGUGAAACAUUAAUUGGACAAAACUACAGGUUUAAUGUAAAACAUAAUGCAAAGUUUUUGGGAAAACGAAAUAUUUAUACAUUUGACAUUGAAACCUGGCAAAAAGGUAAAAACAAAACUUUUGUGACUAUAUUAUACACAGCUGGCAGUUUGGAAAUAAGAGUACAUAUCGAAAUUGUGUCCAUCUUUCCUACAUAGACAAAUUUACAACUUAAAAAACAGGUCAAAAGAAUAAAAUAUAGACCUUGUUUACUUCUUCAAUGGAAUUUUAUUGCUCCUAUCAAUCAAAUGAGGACAAGGGACAUUUACAGUUGUGUUGCGACGUUGUGACAACGUCUUAUGAAGGUAAUAAAUUACGUCACAAAUUACGUUGUGCCAACGUUGUGUGGAUGGUUGUCAGCACGUGCCUUGGAGUCCACAAAAUUACGUUGUACCAACGUAAUUUUACUACGUUGUCACAACGAUAGUAUUACGUUGUCACAACGUAAUGUCAACGUUGGAUUGUUUACUGGG